GUACGUUCGCAAGAUUAAAACUCAAAGGAUUGACGGGGGCCCGCACAAGCGUUGGAGCAUGUGUUAAAUUNGACGCAACGCGCAGAACCUUACCAACCCUUGACAUGUCUCGUAUGGUUUCCAGAGAUGGAUUCCUUCAGUUCGGCUGGCGAGAACACAGGUGUUGCAUGGCUGUCGUCAGCUCGUGUCGUGAGAUGUUGGGUUAAGUCCCGCAACGAGCGCAACCCUCGCCUUUAGUUGCCAUCAUUUAGUUGGGCACUCUAGAGGGACUGCCGGUGAUAAGCCGGAGGAAGGUGGGGAUGACGUCAAGUCCUCAUGGCCCUUACGGGUUGGGCUACACACGUGCUACAAUGGCGGCGACAAUGGGCAGCGAAGGGGCGACCCGGUGCAAAUCCCAAAAAGCCGUCUCAGUUCGGAUUGUACUCUGCAACUCGAGUGCAUGAAGGUGGAAUCGCUAGUAAUCGCGUAACAGCAUGACGCGGUGAAUACGUUCCCGGGCCUUGUACACACCGCCCGUCACACCAUGGGAGUUGGUUUUACCCGAAGCUGGUGCGCUAACCGCAAGGAGGCAGCCAACCACGGUAAGGUCAGCGACUGGGGUGAAGUCGUAACAAGG
rnacentral:rRNA from 1 species